rnacentral:rRNA from 1 species
GACGAAGGGUGCAAGCGUUACUCGGAAUUACUGGGCGUAAAGCGUGCGUAGGUGGUUCUUUAAGUCGGUUGUGAAAGCCCUGGGCUCAACCUGGGAAUGGCAAUGGAUACUGGGAAGCUAGAGUGCGGUAGAGGGUAGUGGAAUUCCCGGGGUAGCGGUGAAAUGCGUAGAGAUCGGGAGGAACACCAGUGGCGAAGGCGGCUCCCUGGGCCAGAACUGACACUGAGGCACGAAAGCGUGGGGAGCAAACAGG